rnacentral:ncRNA from 1 species
AUAUCCAGUGGUGAUGGAGUCCACCCACGACCGCCUUUUCGGCUGAUGACCCCUACCCGAGC